CACUUUGAAAAUGGACUAAGUUGCUGAUUGCAAUUCAGGAAAUAUGUCGACUAACUAGCGUAAUGUCUAUAUAAACUUCAGUACCCGGCGCCUCCACCAAAAACCGGCGGUCUUAAAGGCCGGCUUUUGAUGGGGGCGAAACAGGAUCGACAAGGGUGUAAAGAUCGUCUUUUUGCUCGGCAUUGUACCGCCGUUAUCGGGCUAAAAUUGUAGUUGCAAACGACAACUAUGCGGAAGCUCGUCUCGCUGCUUAAUCGCGGUGUGACACUUCAAUCAAAGUCCUAGUGGUUCGCACCUCUAGGCGGGGUCCGAAGGCACCUGGCAACAGAAGCCUUCACC
rnacentral:tmRNA from 1 species